rnacentral:rRNA from 1 species
UACAGAGGGGGCGAGCGUUAUUCGGAAUCACUGGGCGUAAAGGGUGCGUAGGCGGGUCUUUAAGUCAGGGGUGAAAUCCUGGAGCUCAACUCCAGAACUGCCUUUGAUACUGAGAAGCUUGAGUCCGGGAGAGGUGAGUGGAACUGCGAGUGUAGAGGUGAAAAUUCGUAGAUAUUCGCAAGAACACCAGUGGCGAAGGCGGCUCACUGGCCCGGUACUGACGCUGAGGUGCGAAAGCGUGGGGAGCAAACAGGGAU